rnacentral:lncRNA from 10 species
CAAAACACCCUUCUUUCUGUAAGCCCCAUGAGAAGCUCAUCCAGGCUGGUCCUGGGCAAAGCUGGAAGGGAGAGAACCUAAAGAUCUGGCCCAUCUGUCCUUCACUGCCGGCUUCCCUGCAGUCCUUUUCCAGAAACCACACCCCACAUUCUCAGCCUAUCAACAGCGUCCUGGUGACCAGGUACAUUCUCAUUCUAUCAUGAGAUUGCUGAAAACUAAAGAAGGCAUCAAGACCCCCACAUGAAUUUCUACUGAUACAAUUUCAGACCUGUGCAGGAAAAUAUUUAAGACAGAAAACGCUUUCUCGAGAGGGUGCCUUCAAAGUUCCCGGAGCUCUUGUCCCUCAGCUGACUCUCACAAACCUGAAACCAAGUGACCCGGCAGCUGCGGGCUCCUCCAUUGACUCAGGCUUCAUCAGAGAGCACCAUAAGUGCCGUAUCUCCUGCUUCAGACCACCUGAGGACCAUUCUACCUGUAUUAUUCAUCUGCUAGGGCUGCCAUAACAGAAUAUCACAAUCCUAGCACAUAAAAUAUGGAAGAGGUCCUCCACAAUGGAGAAAACUAUUGGGGAUAUGCCUUCUGGAGUUUGAUCAAGGAAGAUGGACACAAACAGAAAAGAAAAACAGUCCAGAGGAAGCUGAAGGGUCUCCUACAUUGCACCAGAUGCUGCAGAUGGGGAGGACCAUUCCACUGGAUGCAUUCGGGACUGUAAACAGCAGACUGUGAGUGCGGCAGGCAGGGAUCACCCAGGCUUGACAACUCAACAGAAAGCUGUUCUCCCCAUUGGAAAUGCCCUAUGUUGAGAUAAAUCUGGCCACGAAUUCUUUAAAGCUCUUCCCAUCAAAAGGCAGAAUCUAUUUCCCCACUCCCUGGGAUCUGGGCUGAUUUUGUGACUUGUUUUGAGCAAUAGGAUAUGGCAGAAGCAAUAUCAUAUGACUACCAAGGUUUGGCUUCCAGAGGCCCUGUAGCUUCCACUUUCGCCUUCUUUGAAUAAUGCUGUCUGUGAACAAGUCCUUUGUUAAGGAUGAGAGGUACCACAUGGAGAAAGAGACCCAGCCAUCCAGCCAUUACAGGACUCUCUCC